rnacentral:piRNA from 1 species
UGCAGCAACGUGACUACUGUGCCC